rnacentral:rRNA from 1 species
GCGGUUAUACGAGAGACCCAAGUUGAUAGCCACCGGCGUAAAGCGUGGCUAAGUUAAAAGUUAAACUAAAGUCGAACAUCUUCAAGACUGUUAUACGUAACCGAAGACAGGAAGUUCAGCCACGAAAGUGACUUUAUUUGAUCUGAGCCCACGAAAGCUAGGGGACAAACUGGGAUUAGAUACCCCACUAUGCCUAGCCCUAAACAUUGAUAGUACUAUACACUCACUAUCCGCCCGGGAACUACGAGCAAUAGCUUAAAACCCAAAGGACUUGGCGGUGCUUUAGAUCCACCUAGAGGAGCCUGUUCUAGAACCGAUAACCCCCGUUCAACCUCACCCUUCCUUGUUUAUCCCGCCUAUAUACCGCCGUCGUCAGCUUACCCUGUGAAGGCUAAAUAGUGAGCAAAAAUGGCAUAGCCUAAAACGUCAGGUCGAGGUGUAGCGUAUGGAGGGGGAAGAAAUGGGCUACAUUCGCUACCACAGCGAACACGAAGGAUGUCCUGAAAUAUCUAUCUGAAGGAGGAUUUAGCAGUAAGUAGGAAAUAGAGCGUUCUGCUGAAACUGGCCCUGAAGCGCGCACACACCGCCCGUCACUCUCCCCAAAACCACCCACACAUUAAUUAAACCCUGAUAAUAAAAAAGGGGAGGCAAGUCGUAA